CUCGUAUUUAUUACUGAAUUUUCCUUUAAGGAAGGACCCACAUUCUAAAAAAAACCAAAAAAAAAAAAACCAAUGGAAUGCAGACAACUGGCGAAAUACUAGUCUGGUCUUGUUUUGUGUUUAAGCUCUUUAAGAGCUUCUGAACAUUUUUAGUUUCGUUCUCAUCUUUUUACAGUUAACAGAGAGGGAGAGAGACCCAGACGUGUAAAAUCUAAAGAUAAAAGAUAACAUGGCAUUCUGCAGACCUGCUGUCUCUGUCCUGAUCUUACUGCUGUAUUUACAUGGAGUUGUCUGUGCACCAGCUUCAGCUGAAGUAACAGUGAAGGCGUAUCUUAAUGACUCUGCGACCCUGCCCUGCUCUGGACAACACUCAGGGACAGUCGUGUGGGUCAUGCUCGAGAAACCUGAUCAUGUUGUGGCUUGGUGUAAUCAAACAUCAUGCUGGUCAGAGCACGGGUUUGAGAUGUCUCAUGAUAAUUACCGGAAUGGAACUUUCUCCCUGAACAUCACUGCAGUUGAGCACAGUAAUGCCGGCCUGUACCAGUGCCUGGAUGACCAUAAGAUCAUCAGUGAUGUCCGGCUUAAGGUUGAGAAUAUUCCCUCCAUAAACGUGGACCGGUACCACAGUGUUGUUCUCCCUUGCCAUGGGAUAUCUCCUGGUUUGGUAACCUGGGUCAAAAAUGAUAAACCCUCUGAUCCUCUGGCUGAGUGUGAUCGGACUUCCUGCAGAUCAGUGAAGGAGGGAUAUCAGAUGAUCUAUGAUCAAUACCUGCAGGGAGAUUUCUCUCUGAUCAUCACUGAAGCUGAUUUCAGUAAGAGAGGGAAUUACACGUGUCAGUGUGAUAGUUUCCUCUUUCGUGUGCAGCUUCUCAUAAAUCCUCUGAAUUCCCCAGUUCAUAUACAGUCUGGUGAUUCUCUGGUGCUGGCUUUAGACCUACACGAUCCAUUGGAGGUGAUCUAUAAAAGAAGUGGAGCAGCCCAUCAAACCAGUGUUCAGAUCUGUACUCUGUAUGGACGCUCACUCCACUGUAUUGAUAAAUAUAAAAAUAGAGUGUUUCUACAUUCUGCUCUGGAGCUGAGUGGAAUGAACGUGUCUGAUAGUGGAGUGUACACCAUGAGGACCAUCGAGAAUAAAGAGGAUAUUCACAUCUACACCGUGAAUGUUACAGAUUACCAACGUCCACCCCUCCCCUCACCCCUGGAUGGAAAAGUCAUUUGCAUCAGUUUUUUUUUGUGUAUAUCAGUGAUUAUUAAUGUGAUUUUGGUGGUUAGGCUUUGCGUAUUGAAAAGGCAGCACAAAAAGGCAAAUGUUACCUGUGUCCUGAAAAACAGAUGUUGUAGAAAUGAAGAUGCAAAUGAGAGUACAGCAGAAGAACAGAUACUGCAAACUGAGCAACAAUAAGCCAUAACUCUGAGAGAUUAUUUUUAUUACAAAUAUUUGCAUCAGUGUGGUGUGUUGGCACUAAUUCAGGGCUUUACUGUAGAAGAUUAUAUUAUAUUAUAUUAUCUUCACUCAAUCACAACUGAAACCUUUAUUCCUGAAUAUACAUAGGAGCUUUACAUUUUAAAUUCCUUCUUUCUUAUUGUGCUCCUCAGACUUAAAACACAAUUAUACCAUUACCUUACCAUAGCAUAUUAUUUCAUUGUCAAUUGUUCAUUGUUUUUUCGUGUGUAAUUGUAGUGAUGAUAUAUUAGAUUGAUUACAAUAUUAGUGUGAAAAGAUUUGUUUAUUGGGGGAAACUAUUACUAUUACUGUACUAUAAAUGAAAGGAAGCUCUAAUACUCUGUUUGAGCCUCUGAACAAUGUGAGAUAUGUAUGAAUAUAUAAUACAAAAAACAAGUAAGUGCUAUCUUUUAGAAAUACAUUUAUCUGUUAUUGCAAAUUAUAUCUUCCUACAUAUAUAUGUCUGUAUAUACGUACUUAAAGCUACUUGAUUACUAUCACUUUACUUCUCAACUUCUCCAACAUAUAGAAAAAUCUCCUUGGUAUUGUAAAUGACUAAACUUUUCUAAUAAUAAAGUUUGAAACAGUGGAUUACA
rnacentral:lncRNA from 1 species